CCUGCACUUCUCCCUUCCACGCUGCUCUUCCUUUCGUUGGGAAAUUAAUCUUUCUCAUACAAUAAAUUUGAAAAAUAUAAUAGAGGUUAAUGAUAGAAGGGAUCCUAUAGAUGAAACUAUAUUUCAUUUGGUGUAAGAAUCAGGGUAAUCUGAAUAUCGUCGUGGUAUACCUGCUAGACCUAAAAAGUGUUGUGGAAAGAAAGUAAUAUUUACUCCAAUAAAUAUUAUAUAAAAGUGGGAUUUGGUAUACUGUUGAUUUAAAGGUAAACCUGUAAUUAAAGGGUAUCAGUGGGUGAAUCCUGCAAAUUAGGCAAAAACAGCUCCUAUGGAUAAAACAUAAUGGAAAUGUGCAACUACAUAAUAUGUAUCAUGAAGUAUAAUAUCUAAGGAUGAAUUGGAUAAAGCAAUUCCAGUUAAUCCACCUGAUGAUUUAAAU